CACCUGGCCAGAGUAGCCACUGUGGCUUUUGAUACCAGGGUCCACGUCCUGGAUUUGGAGAUGUUUUCCUCCCUGGGCCUCUGUGGCACGUUGUCGUGGCUUCUCUCCAGCCUUUGUGACGCAUGGCCUCCGGUCCCAGCUCUUUGGGAAAUCCAGUCCAGUCCUCAGGGCUCAGUGGCCACCUCAGAACUGCCUCUCAGUACACUGGCUGCAGCCCAGCCUCUCCCCUGGACAGUCCCAUGAUCUCCCCUCAUUCCAGCCUGUUCUCCUGUCCCCACAUUUUAAAAACAGGUGCUCUGGGGUGUCGACCUGACUCUGCAGACACAUCACAUGGGCCACCGGAUUGCAGACAGUCAGCAAGGGAAGGUGUUCCCGUGUUCUAGCUGGAUGAGCAGCGGGUGCUGAGAUAGGGAUGCCUGGAGUUGGUCCCUGGAAGGCCUGAAGCGGCGGUGCCCUCCUGGUGGUGAGGGACACUUGGUGCUGGCGCGCCUGCUGUCCGCUCUGCGCUCCGAAGCUUGCCUCGCACGGAAUUGCCCUGCCAGCGAGUUUUAGCGCUUCCCCACGACCAGAGCUCCUCCAUCGAGUGCAAGGCUCGGUCUGCCCGCCUCCACCCUCUCAGCCCCCAGGUGCAGCGCUCAAUGCAACGGGGGCUGAACAUGUUUCGUGGACUCGGCAGGUCCUGGUGGCUCAGGACGGCGCAAAAGAAAUAUCUCCAAGCAACAUCGACCCAAUUUUCAAGGGAAGACAUAAUCCAACCUUGGAAACCUCCAAACACAGAUGAAAACAGGAUUUGGUUUAGCAUUGAAGGACCUUACUAAGAAGUACUCUGACAAGCUAGAAUGUUGUGGAAAUGAAGUGGAGAAGAUAAUUGAAGAAAGAUGAUGCAAAACAAUUGAGCUUGGCACAGGAAAUGAAAAUAGUAAGGCAGCAGGAGUGGCUA